AUACGGAAGGUCCGGGCGUUAUCCGGAUUUAUUGGGUUUAAAGGGAGCGCAGGCGGAGAUGCAAGCGUGACGUCAAAUUUCGGGGCUCAACCCCGUCUCGCGUCGCGAACUGCGUCCCUUGGUUGCGGGAAGGGGAGGCGGAACUCGUGGUGUAGCGGUGAAACGCAUAGAUAUCACGAAGAACUCCGAUCGCGAAGGCAGCCUUCCGGCCCGUCAACGACGCUCAUGCUCGAAGGUGCGGGUAUCAAACAGGAUUAGAUACCCUGGUAGUCCGCACAGUAAACGAUGGACACCCGCGGUUUGGCCUGUAUGGCUGAGCCGCCAAGCGAAAGCGUUAAGUGUCCCACCUGGG
rnacentral:rRNA from 1 species